AGUGAACGCUGGCGGCAGGCCUAAUACAUGCAAGUCGAACGGAAGCACAGUAAGCGUUCGUCUCUACGGGUGGCGAGUGGCGGACGGGUGAGGCAUACAUAGGAUUCCUAUUUUUCGUGGGGGAUAUCGUAGGGCAAUAUAUGCUACUACCGCAUAUGUUCUACGGGUGAAAGCAGGGGUUCUUCGGACUUUGCGCGACAGUAUGAGCUGAUGUCGGAUUAGCUAGUUGGCGAGGUAAAGGCCCACCAAGGCAACGAUGCAUAGCUGAUCUGAGAGGAUGAUCGGCCACACUGGAACUGAGACACGGCCCAGACUCCUACGGGAGGCAGCAGUAGGGAAUAUUCGGCAAUGGGCGCAAGCCUGAUCCAGCCAUGCCGCGUGAGUGAAGAAGGCCUUCGGAUUGUAAAACCCUUUUAUUAGGGAAGAAAAGCUGCGUAAGUAAACCCCGCUAUUCUGACGGUACCCAAUCAGAAAGCACCGGCUAACUUCGUG
rnacentral:rRNA from 1 species